rnacentral:rRNA from 1 species
GAUGAACGCUGGCGGCGUGCCUAAUACAUGCAAGUCGAGCGAACAGACGAGGAGCUUGCUCCUCUGACGUUAGCGGCGGACGGGUGAGUAACACGUGGAUAACCUACCUAUAAGACUGGGAUAACUUCGGGAAACCGGAGCUAAUACCGGAUAAUAUAUUGAACCGCAUGGUUCAAUAGUGAAAGACGGUUUUGCUGUCACUUAUAGAUGGAUCCGCGCCGCAUUAGCUAGUUGGUAAGGUAACGGCUUACCAAGGCAACGAUGCGUAGCCGACCUGAGAGGGUGAUCGGCCACACGGGAACUGCGACACGGUCCAGACUACUACGGGAGGCAGCAGUAGGGAAUCUUCCGCAAGGGGCGAAAGACUGACGGAGCAACGCCGCGUGAGAGAUGAAGGUCUUCGGAUCGUAAAACUCUGUUAUUAGGGAAGAACAAAUGUGUAAGUAACUAUGCACGUCUUGACGGUACCUAAUCAGAAAGCCACGGCUAACUACGUG